rnacentral:lncRNA from 1 species
UGGGGGUUUUGAAAUUGAUUGAAUUAAACUAAUACGGAAAGCAAUAAAGUAAAGUAAAUAAUUAAAGUAAAGAAGAUUCAAAUAUGAGAAAAGCUCUAGUUGAAGAAUUAGAUCCAGUUCAGUUGUUGGGAUUGAUCAUUGACACUUAGGUUCCUUUGUUUGAUUUAAUAAAUUAGUUAUGGAGGUGGAAGACGCUUUUCACCACCAUAUCCCUCCUUAAGCAUAAAUUAAUUAGGGAACGUCCUCUAACUAAUCACUAAUCAAC